CCAUUUCUCCUGCAAGGGAAUAACGAGUGUCGAUUAGAUAUUUAUCAUUCAAUUCUAUUAGCAUAACAUUGGUCUCAAAGAUGGAAAGAGAAGCCAUGUCCCACCGGGCGUGCCAUUUUGUCUGCCACCACGAAUGACGCACCUCGCACGGCUGAUGGAUUUCAGGCCGUGGGGUAGUAUUCAUGAUUCAGAUUAAUAUUUAAAUAUGUAUGGUUAUCAGGUUUUGUGGAUUCAUGGCUUCCAAUAAACGCAAGCGUCUAUUGUUAAUUACCCCUACAAAGUGUUAGGGCACCUUCGAUUAAGAGACCUUUGUAAUGCUGUGAUUGAAUAAAAGAUGAAUUUUAUAACAUAAUUCAGUAUGACGGUUGAUUGAAUUUGAUUCUGAACCAAGAUAUUAUUCAUCCUAAGAUGAAAGGUUGGUUAAAUUCCCAGUAUAUACAUUGGAAUUUAAUCAGAUUUGAUUCAAAUUAAACUCUAAUUAAAUGAAUUAGAGUUUGAUUUAGUUAAUUGAACUUUAAAUAUAUGUGAUAA
rnacentral:lncRNA from 1 species